rnacentral:lncRNA from 1 species
UGAAAAAAAAACAUGUUAAUCUCUAUAUUUAAAACAAAAAAAGCAAACAAUCUUAGUUUCAAGUUUUCAAUGGUAAAGUACAUUCAAAAUCCUACUCCUGAUUUUGAAAUCAAAUUCUUAAACUGACAAAUUGAUGCAAAUGCAUCAUUGCAAGAAUGGUUAGCUCAGUUCUCAGUUUCAUGACCUUGGACUCAGCACAUGUAUAGGAUUCUCAACACUCUUUAAAUUGCUUUUAUAUUCAGAUUUGUCAGUGGUUAAAACAUCACACAACCUGCAACUUUUUCUCCAGUUUUGCACCUUAAUAUCCUCAUAAAAUUUGGAAAAAUCUGAGCAUUCUAUUGAGCAAGAUCUAUACCACAAUAAACAUCAGUAAAUCAACACCUGACACAAGAAGGUCUAGCAAUUAAAGCUCUAUUGUCUCAGUACUCGAAUGACAAAUUCAUGUAUAAUAUACAUAUGCAGGGGAAUGGGCAAACAGCUUCACUUGUCUUGCAACAUUUUUGGUCUUAUUUCAUUCAUGCUUCUACUUGUCUCUGUUGUUCAACAUUGAUUUCACACACAGAUGUAAGGCCAACUGACCAUGAUAAAAACUACUGGUCAUAAUCUUGAUAUAAUAUGGCGUUGUUCAUUUCUACACUAUGGGCUUUUGACUCAUUUCUUCUGCAGGAACAUCAGUCUGUUUAAUAUCAGACUAGUUUGGUUUGAAUUUAAAUUGCAUGGGUUCUUUGCUGCGCUUGGAAAGGGUCUUUGACUUGAUCAUUAUUGGGUCAAUCAAUUUCACUGCUUUUAACUAUAUAUAGGUUUCUCAGUUUUCUACAAAAAGGGAAUAGGCCUUCCUUUGUCUAAAUGGACAGACUUGAAUCUUUUGACUUCCUUUAAUUCUCACUACUUUUCUGUUUUUAACGCUGUUUUUCUGUCCAUGGUAUCUGUUGCUGAUGUUUGUUCCAUUUCGGAUCUGUACGUGUGCUUUCGCCUUUAAAUAUUUGCCUUAAUUUUUAAUCUUUCCAAGUCAGGUUUACACUUUGCUUUUUCAGCUUUAAAAUGUUUUGCUCUUAACUUAAACUAUGAACAUGAAAAUGGCAGAAACUUAAACUUCCAUUGUUACUAGGAAACUGGUGACUGAAUCAUUUGCAUUAUUAUGCAUGCAUAAAAAUUUUUUUCAAGGUAUUGUUCCCUUCCUUGGAAAUCAUUGUAUCUUUGAGCGAAAUGACAAGACUGAUAAAAACAUUUUGUUGUGCGUGUGUGUGUGUAUCAUGUAAAUAUAUUAUGUGUGUGUAUAGCAACAACCAUAUCCGCAAGGGAGAUAAUUUUGAUAAAUACACACAAUUCUGAUCUCAUUACCCUCUGUUGGUAUUACACUUUUCUGCCCCACCCCCAGAAAAAUGAUUUGGAGUGCUAAUGUAUACAUUUAUGUAUAGGAAAAGGACAGAAGUGGAUGAUUCUGACAUGUUUGUCUAGAAAUAAAUGCAAAAAGGCUAUAAAAGACAUUAUCAAAAGAAGUUCCAUAAUCUUCGCAAAGGAGGUAUUUUUUUCAUUUCGCAUAAUUACUUAGUUACAUCAUCAAGCGCAUUGAUUUUCAUAAUUUGACUACAUGGUAGAAUUUCAAUAUCCUGUGAUUUUGUAAUUAUCUCCCUUUAAUGACAAUCUUUAAUAGUUGAAAAAAAAAAUUAGAUUGCCUUAAAAAAUCUCAGAUAUGAAUUACAGUUACUGCUUCAAUACUAGUUAAGGAUGGUUAAAACUUAAGUAUUCAAGUUAAUGUUUCAGACCAAUUCUGUAUGACCCAAAACAAUUUUGAUUGCUGGAAAAACACAAAAAAAAAAAAUCUUUGAAAACUGACAAGUAGAACUGAUUCUGAAAUUUGAAUACAAUGUGUACAUAACCAGCAAAGAUACAGAACACUUAUUGUGCUUCCUGUGCCUUUCCGUGCUUAAAAUACAAAAUAAAUGGGGUUAGAACAUUUCACUUCUUUUUUAAGACAGUUUUUGUAUUUUCUGGAGCAUCAAAAAUGUAAGGUAAUCCUUUUUUACAUAAAAGUUAUAUAUUUUCUUAUUUGGCAUAAGAAGAAAUUCCAAAAAAUAUGUGGGUUUUUUUUUUUUUUUCGUUUUGAUAUAAAAAUGGGAGGUUGCUGCUAGUGUGUCUUGAGAAUGAGAAGGGUUGGGUGGGGGCAUAUUUGAAUCUGCCAUCCAAUUAUAAAUAAAAAAUAGCAAAAUUAUUUAGUGGACUAAAAUAUGUUUGAACUGUGAGGGAUAUUAUCCUGCUCAUAUGGAAAGAAAAGUUAAUGAAGCAAACAAAAAAACAUUUUUUUUUUUUAUUCCCUGGGCAAGCAUUUGUGUUUAAAAUUCUCAACAUCUUGACCAAGAGCCCAAUGUACAGUUUUAAUAUCAGAAAAUUUUAUAAUGGCCAAAUGCCACUUAAAGGGCCUCUCUGUAAACAUCAAUGACAAUGUCACUUUAUAGGUAAAUAGUCUGGCAGUGAGCCAAAUAUAAAUUUCUGUUCAAGUCCAUAUAAAUUUACAGUGACCAUUACAGUAAACUUGAUAAAAAAUUAUCACUGAAAUCUCUACCUAUAGCAUUGAUUCACAGUGUUACACCUUAACAGGUAAAAGUUAAAAAUAGUGACAACAGAUGGCCGUCUGAUGACUGAAAGGUCAAUGACAGGGCCUCAUUAUUUUACCAUUUUGGGUGUUGCAAAGAGGUCAUUAAGUGGGCAAUAUACCAAAUGAAAAUAAGUACUUCAAUAGCUGAAAUACUGUUUUUUUCUUACAUAAGGUCUAGACGUAAUUCAUCACAUGACAUCGCACCUCGACAUCACGUGACCUAUUUGACACGUCAGCGAUAUGUCGCCAACACAACAACAAUGGUUCCGAUUUCAGGACAUACAACAAGCAGUGGUCCAAGCCACAGUCUACACUCGUAGAUCUCCUGGUACAGAAGAUGCCAGCAGAACCACCCAUGUCAGAAAGGGACUGUCUGGCAGCCUUCAAGCUUCUAGCCACUAUGUACAUCAAGUACAUCCAGAUUUUCCGCUGACUGGAGAUGUGCUAUGACCGAAUUGUUCAACCUCAGAAAAGGUGUGUGUUGAGGCAUGCACUUGUUGUCGAGAUGGUCAGUCUGAAGUUCUGAGAGUACCAUAAUUACUUUGAUAAUGUGCUGUCAGAUAUAAAACUUACUCCAGAAUGAUGUUGAAAUUCCAAUCCCAAAUUAUUUCAUCAGUGAAUGACUAGAAGCUCUUGACAGGAAGAGAGAAGUUGCUUGGACAGAUUAUCACCAAAGUCAGACCUCAGGAUAAGGAUAUGGUUUGGAAAGGAUUUCAGAGAAGAAAAACAAAAAAAAAGAGAGAGAAGAAGAGAUCAUCUUUAUUGGAAUGGUAUGGUAUGCUAAAACAAAACUUGAUAAGAAGCGUGCGAAGCUGUUCCAGGGUGACUAUGAAGAUGGGGGAGGGGGUAAAGGUGGAAAGGGAAAGAAAGGCAAGAAAGGGAAAAAGGGAAAGAAAGGAAAAAAGAAAUGAACUUUACAGUGUUUUUCUUCCUAUUUCUUUAUUGUUAAAUGGACAUUGUUUUCAAAAGAAUAUGUUUAAAAUAGUUAUAUGUUAUUUAAAAGAAAUUUCAUUUUUCUGUUCUGUAAGAAAUAUGAAUAAAUAGGUCAGUUUCCUUCAUGAGAAAUUAAUAACACUAGAUUGUGAAACUGCUGAUAAUGACAAGAGAUUUGUAUGAACUGCUGAUUGUAAUAUAUAGAUCAAGUGUUCUAUUAUAAAAAGACCUUGUUAGCAUUCAUUUCAUAAGAGCUAUUAUUUUUAGCUCACCUGUCACAAAGUGACAAGGUGAGCUUUUUGUGAUCGCGUGGCGUCCGUCGUCUUGCUUUUGCUUGUGACCACUCUAGAGGUCACAUUUUUUGUGUCAUCUUUAUG